GCAAUAUUUAAAUUAAGCAUGUCAGGGGUCUGCUGAACACUUUGAUGCCCAAUAUGCAUAGAUUUACCAGCCUAUGUGAUGUCCAGAGACCCCCAAAUGAAAAGAGCCCAAUUUGUCAGGAAAAAAAAACAUGAUGCAGUUAAAAAAAACCGAAUACAACUGUUAUUGUGUUCAUCUGCAAGAUCAUGUGGGCCUCCAAUCUAAGUGUUCAGUUACAAGUCUCUGAUUGCCUUUAGCAGAGGUAUGCUCUAAAUCAUUAAUUUGGCCAUUUAAUACAAAAGAUAUUAGCAUCCAUGGUACAUCACAUUAAAACCUGCAGUUGGACCAUAGUACAUGAGUACUACUUCUCCUUACCAUAGUUGAGCUGGAAAUGAAGAGGAGCCUAAGCUGUUCAUGUCCUUCUAGCCUUCCUACAACUUCAUGCUUGUGAUCACCCUGUUUCCUCUCCUUGCCAUGGCUCCACUCCUUAUAAUACAAGUUCAGAGCUGCCACAGUUAGUCUGUUAGGUAAAUAUAAUUUUGUUUAUACACAUAUAUGCCAGAACAUAUGUUUACAAUUUUUUUUUGUACUCUCAUUUCAAAGCAGUUUCAGGUAAAGAAAUAAAAAGGGGUAUAGUAACCCUAAGCAACCGAUUAGAUGCUUGCUUUCAAAAUGCCUUUUUCUCUUCAAUGCAAAUCUUUUGAACGCAAAAAAGCAACAUUUCAUUCUGUUGUUUUCUUUGCAGAACAGAUACUGAUGUGUGUGAUGUGCUGCAGGGGACACUGGAUGGCAGUGGUAUUCUCCAGAGGAUAACUGUUACCGGCUUACAGCCUUUUUACCUUGCUUCCAUUGUUUACAAUAUUAUCACUUUUGCAUUUCACUGCCAGAUGGAUUAUUUGCAACCAAAAUAUGUUCCCCUACAAGUGUACCUGAAUUGAAUAUACUCCAGAAAUAGCUCCUGCUACUGCCUUAACUGCUUUCUGUACUGAACCACUGGAUAGGGGAAAGGAAAGUGGGAAGAAAAUAAAAAGAACGAUACUGAUGAAGAUGAAAACAAAGUUUGCUUGUUCUCUUCAUGUCACUUUUAAAACAUAGAAGCAGAAGUGUCAUUUGAUGGAAAUAUUUGUAGAAAUAAUCACAGUUGGUCCUUCAACCAAUUCAUUCACCUGGUCUGAAUAUAAUCCUAUUUACAGGAUUUCAUAGACCCAAUCACUACUGUAUUGAUAGAGACCGAAUCUCUGCUGAAAGACUCAGAUACAAGUCCAGGCAAAGUGAAUAUAUUAAAGAAAGAGUAUCCAUCAGAAGAGUUGAAUAGAAGAAGAAGCAGUGAAGAUACUUCAGAUUAGAAUGAGUUGACUCUAAUUUCAGAAAAAAAGAUCUACAGUGCCUCCACUCUUUGAUAUCCCUUUAUUCUUGCUUGUGCCACCCAGAUGGAGUUGUUUGCAGAGAGAGAGAGAGAACAGAGCCUGGAGGUACAUGUGCAUAUGAGGCAUGUCAUAACUCAGUGUAGAUUAAAUGGUUACUUUUAAAAAUACUUUAACAUGUAAGAAUUUUACUUGAUGUCCUUUACUAUGCUUGGGUAGAACUUUAACCAUGUUAUCCCAAUAGUUCUCCAUCCCAAUGUGCUGCUUGUAUUACCUCUGUAUAAUCACAGAAGGCCCAUGUUUGUGCUGCAGUAGCUUCAGGGGGAAUUCUAUAGGAUAAAAAUCACAUUCUUGUUUAUUAUUUUUUAGUCAUCAGACUUCUAGGAUCUCCAUUGAUGACUUGAAAUUCUAAAGAUGGUUUGGCAGCAGAUAGUUACAUAGUUAAAUCGCAGAUAGUUACAUAGCUAAAUCGGGUUGAAAAAAGAC